UACGAAGGGUGCAAGCGUUACUCGGAAUUACUGGGCGUAAAGCGUGCGUAGGUGGUUUGUUAAGUCUGCUGUGAAAGCCCCGGGCUCAACCUGGGAAUGGCAGUGGAUACUGGCAAGCUAGAGUGCGGUAGAGGGUAGUGGAAUUCCCGGUGUAGCGGUGAAAUGCGUAGAGAUCGGGAGGAACACCGGUGGCGAAGGCGGAUCUCUGGGCCAUUACUGACGCUGAGACGCGAAAGCGUGGGGAGCAAACAGG
rnacentral:rRNA from 1 species